UACAGAGGUCCCGAGCGUUGUUCGGAUUCAUUGGGCGUAAAGGGUGCGUAGGCGGCGGGGUAAGUUUGAUGUGAAAUCCCGGGGCUCAACCCUGGAAUUGCAUUGAAUACUACCUUGCUAGAGUACCGGAGAGGAAACUGGAAUUUACGGUGUAGCAGUGAAAUGCGUAGAGAUCGUAAGGAAGACCAGUGGCGAAGGCGGGUCUCUGGACAGUUCCUGACGCUGAGGCACGAAGGUCAGGGGAGCAAACGGG
rnacentral:rRNA from 1 species